GCUUUCUUGGUCCAACGGUAGGAUAAUUGCCUUCCAAGCAAUUGGCUCGGGUUCGACUCCCGAAGGAAGCA